rnacentral:tRNA from 1 species
GAGUGUAUAGCUCAAGUGGUAGAGCGUGUGCUUAGCAUGCAGGAGGUCCUGGGUUCAAUCCCCAGUACCGCCU